AUAAGAAUAGGGGAGUGGAGAAGACACAAUCAGGGGCGUUGAGUAAAAUUGAGGCCUCUUUGGUCCAGUCCAAUUACUGGGGUACAUCAGCAAAAUUGGAGGCUGCAUGUAGUAAUUGUUGGUCAAGGCCCAAAGACAGGGGUACAGCUGUAAUGUUGGAGGUGGCAUAUGGUAGUUGUUGGUCAGGCCCAAGGCCUCCUUUUUCUUUGCAGAAACAAUAUGGGCUUAAACCCAUAUGGAAGGAGGUGCGAAUGGAGGACAAGAGGUAGCGGGCAGUGAGAAUGUGGCCCAGAGUCAGGCCCAAAGCUUCCUUUCAUAUGCAGAUAGGGAAAUGGGUGUGAAUAGUAGAUGAGGGGUGCAGGGAAGAAACUCCAGCCAGAGCCAGACCCAAGGCCCCUUAAGUUCAGAAAUUCAUUAGGGGUUUCUCCCAUUUCCUCUCAUUCCUCACACUUCAUCAAAUCAGAGACUUGGUCUCUCUCGCGAAAGGCAAUCCCAGGGAGGGGUUUUCCGCCACUGCACGUCCACACCGCCACUCCCUCCGGUCAGCUACCGCACCGCCACCUACUCUAGUUUGAUCGUCGCCGUUGACGUCAGACCUUGCCGGAGUCAUCACGGGCCGUAGCAUUACCGCUUUUCCUCUCUCUUGCGGGGUGUGCCUCUCUCGAGUUCACGCACACCACCUCCCUGCCGUUCAAUCACGUACCUGGCCGGCCACCGUGCCCCACCAUAGCCAUCGCCACUCACGAAUCGCCGGCAGUUCCUCCCUGAAGAUACAACGCCCCCCUCUUCUCUUUUGGCAACAACUUAGGGUUGGGGCUUUCAACGCCGUUCCCGCGCAAGUCGCCGCCCCCGCGCAAGUCGCCGCCAAUCCAACCAAUGUCGUCGCUUCCCUUCACCGGUCAAGAGCGCCGUCGCAGACCACCAUGCUCAUCCUCUCUUGCGCACCUCGCUUCUCCAAAACAAGCAAUCAACAUGUGCUUUGUAUUGGAUUGUGUAUGGUGGUUGAAGGGUUGAUUUAUGAAGAGGAUGAAUGGUGUCUUAUGUGAUGAUGGGUGCGGUGGAUGCUGGGUUGGAAUUGAGUUCACUGUUUUUUUUUUUCAGGUAUUGAAGAUGAUGGAAGGGAGAAAGGAGAGAGAGAUGAUUCGGUUGAAGGAAAAUGGGUUCUGUUGUGCCAUUUUGUUUUCUUGUUUUUCUGAUGGAGAGAAAAUGAGUGUGUGAGGUUCUGUUUCUGUUUUUGGUUGUUUUUUUGAAUGUAUGCAGAUGAAGCGUUUGUGAUAUGGGUUAGUGAUGGAUUUGGAUGAGAAAAUUGGAGGAUCGAAGAAUCGGAGAUGAACCGAUAGGUAGGGGUGAGUGAAUAUAGGAAUUGAGGAUAUUGUGGGAGAUGAAUGAUGGAUGAUGAGGGAGACCCUUCUUUGUGCGAGUAAGUGGAGGAGUUCAGAGUUGUGUGAUCGUUACGGGUGUGGUCAUGGGGGAAUGUAGAUUGUGCCUGAUAAAAAUUAUGGUGGAGAUGAUCAUUCUCUGUACAAUGGUGUCAGGAUAAGGACUCGAAGAUGGACAACCAAAAGAGAUUUUCUGUUAUGCCCGUAGUGAGUGCCACCCUAGUGAGUGAGUGAUGGAAUGGAGGGUCAGAAAUGGUGAGGAAGCAUGGGUGAUUUUGGGUAGAAUUUGUGUGGGGGCUGAUGGAUUGGUGUUUGGAAGGAAGAUGGUUAUGGUAUGUUUUGUAGUGCUGGGUGUAGUGUGAUAUGCGUCUCUGCUCCUCCCUCACUUGUUCUCUGUUUUUUGUUCUGAAUGCUGGGAAAAAUAGUCUGAUAAGGAGGAUGGUAAUGAAGAUGAAGAUGGUGGAAUGGUAUGGUUACCGUGGGUAAGGAUAAGAAAGAUGUAUGGGUCAAUGAGUAAAUGAAGAUGAUCUUUCUUGUAUGAAUAUCUGAAUUAAAGAAUGAGACCCGUGGUCAAUAAUGGAUAUUGUUGGAGGUGAAGAGAAGAAUUGAUCAAUGGUCAGUGAUGGAAUAAAAUUUGGUUAGGGUCAUCAGGUUUUCUAACAGAAUGGUGGUGUUCGUAUGAUGCGUGAUGAAGUGUUAUAGGUAUCCAGGUGAUUGAGGUGGUUGAUGGUUCUAGUAAAAUGUUUCUGAGUGAGUGAAUGUGUGUGUAUGGUAGCAUGAGAGUGAUGUGCAUAAAAUUUGUUCGGGUGGUUAUGGAUCAGAGGAGCAGAGUGGUGGAAAAUGAUGUGUAUUCUGUUCUUCCCAUUUUUUACAACAAACUUUUUUCCUUUUUUUUU